UACGGAGGGUGCAAGCGUUAUCCGGAUUUACUGGGUUUAAAGGGUGCGUAGGUGGGUUGGUAAAUCAGUGGUGAAAUACUUUCGCUUAACGAAGGAACUGCCAUUGAUACUAUCAAUCUUGAAUGUAGUGGAGGUAGGCGGAAUGCGUCAUGUAGCGGUGAAAUGCUUAGAUAUGACGCAGAACACCAAUUGCGAAGGCAGCUUGCUACACUACUAUUGACACUGAGGCACGAAAGCGUGGGGAUCAAACAGG
rnacentral:rRNA from 1 species